rnacentral:ncRNA from 1 species
AAUAGACGGGACAAAAGGUCACGAUCCCGCGAGGGUGAGCUAACUCCAAAAACUCGUCCUCAAUUUGGAUUGCAGGCUGCAACUCCCCUGUAUGAAG